UGGGGAAUAUUGCACAAUGGGGGAAACCCUGAUGCAGCGACGCCGCGUGAGCGAAGAAGGCUUUCGAGUCGUAAAGCUCUGUCCUAUGAGAAGAUAAUGACGGUAUCAUAGGAGGAAGCCCUGGCUAAAUACGUGCCAGCAGCCGCGGUAAUACGUAUGGGGCGAGCGUUGUCCGGAAUUAUUGGGCGUAAAUGGUACGUAGGCGGUUUUUUAAGUCAGGUGUCAAAGCGUUGAGCUUAACUCCAUUAAGCACUUGAAACUGAAAGACUUGAGUGAAGGAGAGGAAAGUUGAAUUCCUAGUGUAGCUGUGAACUGCGUAGAUAUUAGGAGGAAUACCGGUGGCGACGGCGACUUUCUGGACUUUUACUGACGCUCAGGUACGAAAGCGUGGGGAGCAAACAGG
rnacentral:rRNA from 1 species